AUUUUAUCGCACCAUUUAAUUCUCCUUAAUUCCAGAACUUUCUUCUCUCUCUUCCAUUUCUCUUGCAUCCGUCUAGAUUCUUCCCCUCCUCUUUCUUCUCUCUCUUUCCCUUUCUCUCACUGCUCAUUUCUUCUUCUUCCUCUAUUCUUCUUUUACUCUCACUUGAACUACACUGGUAGAGGAUGUGUAUUUCCUCUACAAGAGAAGGUGAAAGAACACAUUAAAGCUGCGAUUUUUAUCUCAAAAAAUCCAAGAGUACAGGAUGAUGUUGAUUGUUUUAAGUACUAUGCCAAGCUUGCAGGAGGAUUGCUGAUUGCAGCUGUGUUCCUAGAAAACCUGUGGAAUUUUGAUUUGGUUCUUUUUUUUAUAUCAGGUUUUGAUUUUGAUUUUCUAUAGUUAGGAUUCAAAAGAGGUUGUUUAAGUAAAGUAGUUUAGUUCUGGGAUAGUUGUAUCCCCUUCUGCUUUUUAUUGUAAGGGAUGAUAGAUUUUUUACUUUUUACUAAUAUGAAUAUGAAUGAAUGAAUAAAGUUAAGGUGAAAUGUAUUGGUAGCUA